rnacentral:tRNA from 1 species
GAGUCCCACUAUCAACACCCAAAGCUGAAGUUCUAUUUAAACUACUCCCUG